rnacentral:rRNA from 1 species
UGUGCGGUGUGCUAUACAUGCAAGUCGAACGCGUUGGCCCAAUUGAUUGAUGGUGCUUGCACCUGAUUGAUUUUGGUCGCCAACGAGUGGCGGACGGGUGAGUAACACGUAGGUAACCUGCCCAGAAGCGGGGGACAACAUUUGGAAACAGAUGCUAAUACCGCAUAACAGCGUUGUUCGCAUGAACAACGCUUAAAAGAUGGCUUCUCGCUAUCACUUCUGGAUGGACCUGCGGUGCAUUAGCUUGUUGGUGGGGUAACGGCCUACCAAGGCGAUGAUGCAUAGCCGAGUUGAGAGACUGAUCGGCCACAAUGGGACUGAGACACGGCCCAUACUCCUACGGGAGGCAGCAGUAGGGAAUCUUCCACAAUGGGCGCAAGCCUGAUGGAGCAACACCGCGUGAGUGAAGAAGGGUUUCGGCUCGUAAAGCUCUGUUGUUAAAGAAGAACACGUAUGAGAGUAACUGUUCAUACGUUGACGGUAUUUAACCAGAAAGUCACGGCUAACUACGUGCCAGCAGCCGCGGUAAUACGUAGGUGGCAAGCGUUAUCCGGAUUUAUUGGGCGUAAAGAGAGUGCAGGCGGUUUUCUAAGUCUGAUGUGAAAGCCUUCGGCUUAACCGGAGAAGUGCAUCGGAAACUGGAUAACUUGAGUGCAGAAGAGGGUAGUGGAACUCCAUGUGUAGCGGUGGAAUGCGUAGAUAUAUGGAAGAACACCAGUGGCGAAGGCGGCUACCUGGUCUGCAACUGACGCUGAGACUCGAAAGCAUGGGUAGCGAACAGGAUUAGAUACCCUGGUAGUCCAUGCCGUAAACGAUGAGUGCUAGGUGUUGGAGGGUUUCCGCCCUUCAGUGCCGGAGCUAACGCAUUAAGCACUCCGCCUGGGGAGUACGACCGCAAGGUUGAAACUCAAAGGAAUUGACGGGGGCCCGCACAAGCGGUGGAGCAUGUGGUUUAAUUCGAAGCUACGCGAAGAACCUUACCAGGUCUUGACAUCUUGCGCCAACCCUAGAAGAUAGGGCGUUUCCUUCGGGAACGCAAUGACAGGUGGUGCAUGGUCGUCGUCAGCUCGUGUCGUGAGAUGUUGGGUUAAGUCCCGCAACGAGCGCAACCCUUGUUACUAGUUGCCAGCAUUAAGUUGGGCACUCUAGUGAGACUGCCGGUGACAAACCGGAGGAAGGUGGGGACGACGUCAGAUCAUCAUGCCCCUUAUGACCUGGGCUACACACGUGCUACAAUGGACGGUACAACGAGUCGCGAACUCGCGAGGGCAAGCAAAUCUCUUAAAACCGUUCUCAGUUCGGACUGCAGGCUGCAACUCGCCUGCACGAAGUCGGAAUCGCUAGUAAUCGCGGAUCAGCAUGCCGCGGUGAAUACGUUCCCGGGCCUUGUACACACCGCCCGUCACACCAUGAGAGUUUGUAACACCCAAAGUCGGUGGGGUAACCUUUUAGGAGCCAGCCGCCUAAGGUGACAGAGAUCGG